UCAAAUGAAUUGACGGGGGCCCGCACAAGCGGUGGAGCAUGUGGUUUAAUUCGACGCAACGCGAAGAACCUUACCUACUCUUGACAUCCAGUGAAUCCGAAAGAGAUUUUGGAGUGCCUUCGGGAACACUGAGACAGGUGCUGCAUGGCUGUCGUCAGCUCGUGUUGUGAAAUGUUGGGUUAAGUCCCGUAACGAGCGCAACCCUUAUCCUUAUUUGCCAGCACUUCGGGUGGGAACUUUAAGGAGACUGCCGGUGACAAACCGGAGGAAGGUGGGGACGACGUCAAGUCAUCAUGGCCCUUACGAGUAGGGCUACACACGUGCUACAAUGGCGUAUACAGAGGGCUGCAAGCUAGCGAUAGUGAGCGAAUCCCACAAAGUACGUCGUAGUCCGGAUUGGAGUCUGCAACUCGACUCCAUGAAGUCGGAAUCGCUAGUAAUCGUGGAUCAGAAUGCCACGGUGAAUACGUUCCCGGGCCUUGUACACACCGCCCGUCACACCAUGGGAGUUGAUUGCUCCAGAAGUAGCU
rnacentral:rRNA from 1 species